UUCAUACUGAGGAUAAGUCCUGCAAUCCCCCUUUCCAAGCAUAGCCCUCCCUCUCUUGAUCACCCUGAGCCAGGCCUCAGCUGCCUUACGGGAUACAGUCAGAUCAGAUGAAGAAUGGAAAACAGAGAUUCUUCCACAUCUUUUUCCAAAGGCGGAGUUCUUAAAGCAUAUCCAAAUUGUCUGACUGCUAGAGAAGAAUUAUAGUUGAUUC
rnacentral:lncRNA from 1 species